ACGGCGCAGAGAAAGUACCCCGAAACCAGGCGGGGCAGCGUGGCUGUUACGAACGGAGCACUGGCGACAACCCCCGCACAGUCCUGACCCCCGCUCUCCUUUGGAGUUUUUCUGAGUACCCCGACUUCAGUUUUGGGUGUAAAGUCUUCCCUGACACUCGGGAGAGGUUGACAUGUACACGGAUGAAGGAGGAAGUGCCGUCCAUCACCACCAGUGGGCAGCUCAGGCCAAGGAAAGAUCCCAGUACUCCUGGGAAACCCCCAGCCAAGCUGCAUUUUCAUCAAGACAGCUAAUAAGAGCACUUCCUGAAGUUCUAUGCUAGCAGCUUGACAUG